rnacentral:rRNA from 1 species
UACGUAGGGUGCAAGCGUUGUCCGGAAUUAUUGGGCGUAAAGAGCUCGUAGGCGGUCUGUCGCGUCGGCUGUGAAAACCCGGAGCUCAACUCCGGGCCUGCAGUCGAUACGGGCAAACUGGAGUGUUGCAGGGGAGACUGGAAUUCCUGGUGUAGCGGUGAAAUGCGCAGAUAUCAGGAGGAACACCGGUGGCGAAGGCGG